AUGGCAGAGGCAUCACUUGCAGAAGCAACAGCCGAGCUAUCCGGCUUAAAGCGCCAGAUAUCUCAAAUGGUCUCAGCCAUCUUCGGCCCCAGGAGCACAAACCUCAAGCAGAACAUGUUGAUCAAGCUGAAAGCGGUUUAUACUCUAGUGGAGCAACUGUACACCGGGUCACAAUGUGCUUUGGCCGCUGUAGCUUUAUCAAAUGACGUUCCCCACCUCCUGCGAGACGUGAUGAAGUGUCUUGUUGUGCUACCUCAAUGGGUCCAAGAUCUAAGGCGGGCGUCCUCAAGAGCCGGGGCCAUCGCCGCGUUGAGCCGGGCAAAAGCAUGGAUUCCAGAACUAGACCCGGCCGACCUCGCUCUUGGAUACCUGAGUCUGAAAGAGGAUGGGACCGUAUUUGAUGAACAGGAUUUCACCGCCUAUGUCAAAGAUAUACGCCCCGUGGCUACUCUCAUUGGGAACGAUACUGACCUUACCAAGUAUCAGCCAGGCUAUGACAGUGAGAACCGGAGAAUUCCAACACCUCCCUAUGAUGAAGUCAGCCUGAUCCCUCCAACUCGUAAGCAUACCUUUGCCCCUGAAGUGGACCCAGCCGGUUUAAUAGAUGAUGCAGCUGAGUUUGAAGCCUUGAGUGACAUUGACUGGGCCUCGUCAACCUUCCAGGACAGGGCAGCCGACGGAGAGGCGGAGAAGGAUAACCCGGAAUCUUCAAGCCCACCAAAGGAGUGA
rnacentral:rRNA from 1 species